AUCAUUAUAGUUUAAGUAAAAUAUUGAAUUGUGGUUUCAAAGAUAAUAGUGAUAA
rnacentral:tRNA from 1 species